CGUGCUAGCUCCGGUGCUCUCUCGUUCGGCUGUGCUGCCGGGCUUGGCUUUUCACCGCCAUGGCGCUCGGCAACAUCGCCGUCGUGCUUGGCUCCGGAUAUCUGAGCACUAUUCUUACAGGAGGCGACGCCAAGAAAGUCCCUAUCAUCGGGGACACGCUUGCCCAUUUUGUGAAGAAUAAUGGAAAGCACGGCAAAGACGGCAGUAGUGAUCAGUUGGCGUCUCAG